rnacentral:rRNA from 1 species
CGGUUUUAGUGGCGGACGGGUGAGUAACGCGUGGGUAACCUGCCUCACACUGGGGGAUAACACUUAGAAAUAGGUGCUAAUACCGCAUAAGCGCACGGGACUGCAUGGUCUUGUGUGAAAGACUCCGGUGGUGUGAGAUGGACCCGCGUCUGAUUAGCUGGUUGGCGGGGUAACGGCCCACCAAGGCGACGAUCAGUAGCCGGCCUGAGAGGGUGGACGGCCACAUUGGGACUGAGACACGGCCCAAACUCCUACGGGAGGCAGCAG